AGAGUCGAUUGGACAGUCGCUGUCUCGUGAUGUUCCGCAUCAUGGGGUGGAGGAAAGUCCGGGCUCCAUAGGGCAGAGUGCCAGGUAACGCCUGGGAGGCGCGAGUCUACGGAAAGUGCCACAGAAAAUAACCGCCUAAGCGCGCAAGCGCCGGUAAGGGUGAAAAGGUGCGGUAAGAGCGCACCGCGCGGCUGGCAACAGUUCGUGGCUAGGUAAACCCCACUCGGAGCAAGAUCAAAUAGGAACCCAUUGGCGCGGCCCGCGUUGGGUUCGGGUAGAUCGCUUGAGGCAUGCAGUGAUGUAUGUCCCAGAGGAAUGGCUGUCCUCGACAGAACCCGGCUUACAGAUCGACUCUCACC
rnacentral:RNase_P_RNA from 1 species